UUAUUGCAAACUUCUGUAACAACUUGGACAGAGAGUUGAAGGAAAUACCAUAUUUCAAAUGGGAAGAUGUAAACACGGUGUUGUUCCCCAUAUGUGCAAAUCAGCAUUAUUAUGCUGUUUGUUUUUGCUUCAAGAGAAAUGCUAUUGCUGUAAUAGACAAUUCUGCAAACGGGGAUGACAAUGACCUAACAAUAAAUUAUGGUCACAUUCCAGAAACAUUGAGAUCAUACUUUUGUCACUUCCUCA